rnacentral:rRNA from 1 species
UACGAAGGGGGCGAGCGUUGUUCGGAUUUACUGGGCGUAAAGGGCGCGCAGGCGGCUCAUUUUGUCAGGCGUGAAAGCCCCGGGCUCAACCUGGGAACUGCGCUUGAAACGGGUGGGCUAGAGAUCGGGAGAGGAGAGUGGAAUUCCUGGUGUAGCGGUGAAAUGCGUAGAUAUCAGGAGGAACACCGGUGGUGUAAACGGCUUUCUGGACCAUAACUGACGCUGAUGCACGAAAGCGUGGGUAGCAAACAGG